rnacentral:lncRNA from 1 species
GUCAUUUAAAGUACAAGCCUUCACAGAUGAUUUACUUGUAGUGGUAGAAGAUCCACAAGACUUAACUAAGGCAUGAUGCUAUUGCAUUUUUAAUGGUCAUAUUCCUGCUGUCUUCUGGUUUGAUGGCUAUGUUUUUACUGACAUUAAGAUCUACAGCAAUUACGGUUUUAUUUGUUCAUUUGUGUGUAUGAAUCUUUCAAGGUUUCUUUGUUUCCUAACAGGAAAUCCUUUUGGAGAACAGUAGAAGAAAGAGAAUUGUGCAUUUGGUGGAUCUCGUAGCAUUCUUCACACCGUGGAUGAAGACUAUUUUGAUUGGCGUAAGUGAGAAGUGGAGCUGGAAGACUCUGAGGAUGUGUCUUCUCUCAAGCAUAUGGUGCAAUUGCAUGGAUAUUACCUUUUUUUCAAUGUUUAGACUGCAGUAUUUUGUUGUGGAGAUAAUGCAGUGACACUCCAUGGGAAGUAAGCUUCCUAUCAUUGCUUACUGAUAGAGCUGGUUCUAUAUUGGGGAAAUUGCAUAUUGUGUCUUGAUUGUCAGUAUAAUCAAAAAGAUAUGAUGAAGUCUGAAUAAAGGAUAAAAGAAUGGGAUUGUUUUCA